rnacentral:misc_RNA from 1 species
GAUGAAGAACGUAGCGAAAUGCGAUACUUGGUGUGAAUUGCAGAAUCCCGUGAACCAUCGAGUCUUUGAACGCAAGUUGCGCCCGAAGCCAUUAGGCCUAGGGCACGCCUGCCUGGGCGUCACACGUCGUUGCCCCCCCAUCUACUCCUUCGGGAUUGCGGGGGGCGGAUGAUGGCCUCCCGUGCGCCUUGUCGCGCGGUUGGCAUAAAUGCCAAGUCCUCGGCGACGCACGCCACGACAAUCGGUGGUUGCGAAACCUCGGUUGCCCGUCGUGUGCGGUCGUCGCGCAUCGAGGGCUCGAAAAAAAUGUCGGGCUCCGGCUCGGCUUUCAACGCGACCCCAGGUCAGGCGGGGUUACCCGCUGAAUUUAAGCAUAUCAAUAAGCGGAGGA